UUGCGUGUUUGUCUCUGGCAUUUCUGCUAUUUGUUUAUAAACAUAAAUCGUAAGGGGAUAAUCAGAGGAAGUAAAAAAAAAAAAAGAAUUAUUGUUGAGACUUUCCUUUGGAUCUCUGCCGCCGUGGAAAGGCAAAUGAUUGGUAUCACAAUAAGACGUGUCGACUGAGGAUGCCGCUCAUCAAGUGAAUCAGCAGCAAAUAGUAGCGGGCUAAUAAGUGCUAUUAUUCCGUCGCCGUGACGGUUAUACGCACGUGAUACUAGGUACGUAAAUACGGAAGAGGAGAGGAAGAAAUGAGAAGGAGAUACUGUUACGUCGAUACGGACGAAAGAGAGAGAAAGUUACUGUUAGGCGCUGAACUCCCUCGUCCAGCCGCCGAUGACCAAGCAUAUUCGCGCCCAAGUCUAGACUCGGGCAGACCGCUGGUCAUGCAACAGUCCAGGUUGCCCUGAACCAUGGUUGAAUGGCUAUCGACGCACAUUGCCAGCUUUGACUGUCCAGUUUCGCUGCGCGGCAUUUGGACUUUUCACCACGGAAAUCAAACGUUCGAUAUACGACAAGAUUCAUAUAAAUGUCAUAUCGUGAUGUUGGUGUGAGGUGUUACAGGUUUGAUGCAAUCCUAUACAAGAAUAUGUAAGUACCAACUACCAUAUUAUUCCGAGUACAUAAAUGUUAAAUGAUGUUAGAAUCUUUUUUGUAUAUGGAAAAUAAAAGAAAAUUUGCUAUGA
rnacentral:lncRNA from 1 species